CCUACGGGAGGCAGCAGUGGGGAAUAUUGCACAAUGGGCGCAAGCCUGAUGCAGCCAUGCCGCGUGUGUGAAGAUGGCCUUCGGGCUGUAAAGCACUUUCAGCGGGGAGGAAGGCGUUAAGGUUAAUAACCUUGUCGAUUGACGUUACCCGCAGAAGAAGCACCGGCUAACUCCGUGCCAGCAGCCGCGGUAAUACGGAGGGUGCAAGCGUUAACCGGAAUUACUGGGCGUAAAGCGCACGCAGGCGGUCUGUCAAGUCGGAUGUGAAAUCCCCGGGCUCAACCUGGGAACUGCAUUCGAAACUGGCAGGCUAGAGUCUUGUAGAGGGGGGUAGAAUUCCAGGUGUAGCGGUGAAAUGCGUAGAGAUCUGGAGGAAUACCGGUGGCGAAGGCGGCCCCCUGGACAAAGACUGACGCUCAGGUGCGAAAGCGUGGGGAGCAAACAGGAUUAGAUACCCUAGUAGUC
rnacentral:rRNA from 1 species